rfam:Beta vulgaris subsp. vulgaris Bvchr1.sca002.con0073.1, whole genome shotgun sequence.
GGGUGCGAUCAUACCAGCACUAAUGCACCGGAUCCCAUCAGAACUCCGCAGUUAAGCGUGCUUGGGCGAGAGCAGUACUAGGAUGGGUGACCUCCUGGGAAGUCCUCGUGUUGCACCCC